AAGAGUGAGCACCGGGACAAAUACGAAUCCGGUUUUCCCUCCGCCAUUAUUUGAAAGACGAAAACGAAGCUUCCGACACCUGGUUGCAACUUACCCGGGAUAAUUGCCGUUACAGUUAGCGUCUUAGGUACCGUCCGAGCGCUGACAGGGCCCAAACGAAGUAACAGUUUGACUCAGCAGGCUGGAAAACCAGACCACAGGCUAAGGUAGGCUGUCACUUGCUUCAAAAAGUACAUUGGCUCCCAGUGUUAUCGUGGUGGGGAAAUUUUCAUUGUACAUUGACAUCUUCUUUGAUGACAAAAAUGUGUCCUUGAGCUUCAUGGAUGAUUUAAUCAUUUCAGAUGAUCACAAACACACAUUUGUUAACUUCUUUGAAGACUUAUUGUUUGCCCUCCUUUUACAACAUGUUGCUUUCCUGUUUCCCGAAUUAUAUCCAUGAGAUUCAUUCAAAUUGUGUUGCAUGUUUACAAAAACGUGUACUUAUGUUAGAUUACAGACGAUAUUGAUAGAGACCCUAGCUUAGAUGAAUUGAAAACUCAAAAUUGCCCUUUCUAUGAAUGAAGACAUCAACAUUAGCUUGAUCGAAGACUCAAAACAUUCUUCGCUGUGUAGAAACCAUGUAGACUACGUUGGGUUCAUUGAAGACUCAAUAUUUUUUGUUUGGGAAAACAUACAUUUAUGGCAUUAUAGGCUCUAAAUAUUCACCG